UACGGAGGGGGCGAGCGUUAUUCGGAAUUAUUGGGCGUAAAGGGCGCGUAGGCGGCUGUACAAGUCAAAGGUGAAAUCCCUCGGCUCAACUGAGGAACUGCCUUUGAAACUGUACGGCUUGAGGCCGGGAGGGGGUAGCGGAAUUCCCGGUGUAGCGGUGAAAUGCGUAGAGAUCGGGAGGAACACCAGAGGCGAAGGCGGCGACCUGGACAAGUACUGACACUCAACUACGAAAGCGUGGGGAGCAAACAGG
rnacentral:rRNA from 1 species